rnacentral:rRNA from 1 species
GGACUACAGGGGUAUCUAAUCCCGUUUGCUCCCCUGGCUUUCGCGCCUCAGCGUCAGCAGAGGUCCAGCGCGUCGCUUUCGCCACCGGCGUUCCUUCCGAUAUCUACGCAUUUCACCGCUCCACCGGAAGUUCCACACGCCCCUACCUCCCUCGAGAUCACCAGUAUCCACGGCACUUCCCCGGUUGAGCCGGGGGCUUUCACCACAGACUUGAUGACCCGCCUACGCGCCCUUUAAGCCCAGUGAUUCCGAACAACGUUCGCACGGUUCGUCUUACCGCGGCUGCUGGCAC